UACGGAGGGUGCAAGCGUUAUCCGGAUUCACUGGGUUUAAAGGGUGCGUAGGAGGGCAGGUAAGUCAGUGGUGAAAUCUCCGAGCUUAACUUGGAAACUGCCAUUGAUACUAUCUGUCUUGAAUAUUGUGGAGGUGAGCGGAAUAUGUCAUGUAGCGGUGAAAUGCUUAGAUAUGACAUAGAACACCAAUUGCGAAGGCAGCUCGCUAACACAAAUAUUGACUCUGAGGCACGAAAGCGUGGGGAUCAAACAGG
rnacentral:rRNA from 1 species